rnacentral:rRNA from 1 species
AAGGAGCUUGCUCCUUUGACGUUAGCGGCGGACGGGUGAGUAACACGUGGGUAACCUACCUAUAAGACUGGGACAACUUCGGGAAACCGGAGCUAAUACCGGAUAAUAUGUUGAACCGCAUGGUUCAAUAGUGAAAGAUGGUUUUGCUAUCACUUAUAGAUGGACCCGCGCCGUAUUAGCUAGUUGGUGAGGUAACGGCUCACCAAGGCAACGAUACGUAGCCGACCUGAGAGGGUGAUCGGCCACACUGGAACUGAGACACGGUCCAGACUCCUACGGGAGGCAGCAGUAGGGAAUCUUCCGCAAUGGGCGAAAGCCUGACGGAGCAACGCCGCGUGAGUGAUGAAGGUCUUAGGAUCGUAAAACUCUGUUAUUAGGGAAGAA